rnacentral:rRNA from 1 species
AACGAACGCUGGCGGCAUGCCUAACACAUGCAAGUCGAACGAGACCUUCGGGUCUAGUGGCGCACGGGUGCGUAACGCGUGGGAACCUGCCCUUAGGUUCGGAAUAACUCCCCGAAAGGGGUGCUAAUACCGGAUAAUGUCUUCGGACCAAAGAUUUAUCGCCUUUGGAUGGGCCCGCGUUGGAUUAGCUAGUUGUUAGGGUAAAAGCCUACCAAGGCGACGAUCCAUAGCUGGUCUGAGAGGAUGAUCAGCGACACUGGGACUGAGACACGGCCCAGACUCCUACGGGAGGCAGCAGUGGGGAAUAUUGGAAAAUGGGCGAAAGCCUGAUCCAGCAAUGCCGCGUGAGUGAUGAAGGCCUUAGGGUUGUAAAGCUCUUUUACCCGGGAUGAUAAUGACAGUACCGGGAGAAUAAGCUCCGGCUAACUCCGUG